CCCAGACACAUCGUCGUCGCUUCUCACACACAUACAUACUAACAAGUGGACACCGCUGACGAGCUCGCUCGCAGCAGUGGCAGCAACAGCAGAUGAAAAUGAUCGAUAUCUGAGGCGACGACGACGGCUGACUCACGGCGCAGCCCGACUUGAGCGAGUGCGAGCGAGGCUGCGACGCCUGUGAAGCUUCUGGAACCCAUCGCCACUCGCCUACGGCCGGACCCUGGAGCCUCGGCCCUCGAGGUGGUUAGGGUUUUGCACCCGCAGCUCUGUCUGGCCUCGUGAACUUCCCUCCGUUAACCAACCGAGCCUUUCCUCCCCUGCUCCUCCUCUGCUAUGGCCGCUUCCACAUCCGACCUGCUUUCUUUCUAAAGGUUCCCUUUCCUCGGUCCGCACUGCUCUUGCACGCGCCUCUUUGCCAAUUUCGUAUUCACUGCGAUCGUUCGAGCCAGGUUUCGGUUCUUCUCGGCCGUCCCCGUGACCGUGUUGCGCCGGAGUGGUAUUCGUCUUUGAAGCAAGCAUGUCGCAUUUCGGGAGGGCUGGUCCUCCGGACAUCAGAGACACCUACUCGCUGCUUGUGCUCAACAUUACUUUCCGUACGAGCGCGGACGACCUUUACCCUUUGUUCGACCGGUAUGGAAAGGUGGUAGACAUCUUCAUUCCCAGAGAUCGCAGGACUGGAGAGUCUCGAGGUUUUGCUUUUGUCCGGUACAAGUACGCAGAUGAAGCUCAGAAGGCCAUCGAGCGCCUGGAUGGUAGGGAAGUUGAUGGACGGCACAUUGUGGUGCAAUUUGCUAAGUAUGGACGGAAGGAUGAGCCGAUCCAACGAGGAAGGAUUACUGAUACUGGCAUGAAGAGAGUUAGCAGAUCUGCAAGCCGAAGCCCUAAGCGUCCGAGCUGGGAUCGCAGGUCCAGUAGGGACGAUGAUCGGUACACAAGGCAUUACCGGAGCCGCAGUCGGAGUCGUAGCCGGAGCCGUGAUCGCUACGAGCGGUCAAGACAUCACGAUGAUGAUUGCCGUGAGAGAGAACGCGAGAGGGAUAGGGGCCGUGGUUCAAGGCGUCGCAGCCCAAGUCGUAGUCUGAGUCGCAGCAGGAGCUUGAGUCGGGAUCGUGGAGAUGUGAAGCGGUCAUCUCGCAGUGCAUCUGACAAGCGCAGCCCUAAGAGAGAACCAAGCUCUCGAAGGAAGCUAAGUCCCAGCCCCCAGGAGAAGCGGAGCAUGAGUCGUAGCUUAAGCAGGAGCAUAAGUCGCAGCCCUCGGAAGUCGGAGUCUGAAGAGCCCGUAAAAGAGGCGACAGCUAGAAAUGGAAAUGCAUCACCUGCACGGGACAGUGAAUCGCCAGAGCGUGGCGUUUCACCACCUCGUCGCCAAACGUCCCCUGAAGCAAGGAGCGACUCCCCUCGGCAGCGCAGUCUUUCUCCGGAGCCGGCCCGGAGCGGUUCUGGGGAACAGCCUCGAAGUCCUUCUUCAGCUCCUUCAGAUGCGGCGUGAUGUCAUGUUAUUGGACACAAUGCCUGUGCAGGUUGGUACGACACUCAAGAUGAGGUACUGGGGAAUCGAAGAAAUGGCCAGCGGGACGCGUUGGUGAUGACAUAAGCGCAGGAUUUGGUUGAGUUUGAAGUGGACAAUUCCAUCAGAGCGAUUGUGUUCUGCUGUGCUGAGUGGGGUCGUGGGAAUACAUCACAUUCAUGGUGUGGGAGCUGAGCUGUGGUGGUUGCUGGCUGCUGAUUCUUUGACGGCUGAGGUGCCGGGUGCUGGUUUAUUGUAAAAGUAUGUGGGGGCAAAAAGAGUGCAGUGCAGCUGAUGCCGCUGCAGGUGUUCCUUGUUGUUAUGGCCGCUUAUGUGGUGGCAGCUUACAUUCCGGUCUCUUUCGUCAGGCAGGGACGCAAGGGAGUAGCUGUCUUACACAGUAGCGCGGUGAGUGUCUAUGCAGCAACUAUGCAUGAAAAAAGUAUUGAUUGUACUGCUUGCUCUAUCUGGUUACUUUAUCCGAUGGCACAGUCCCAUCUCAUGAGCGGGGAGAGGGCGUGGUGGAAGCAUAUAGAUGAUAUAGAUGUGAGGUUAGUGCUUUUGUGUGAUCAGACAUGUGAAGCAGAAGGUGAGAGUGCGUUUGCACACGGAGGCGUUCGCAAGGUAUUUGCAUUUGCAGAGUGACGCUGCGGUAAGUUUUGAAGGGGCUGUGGUUGUUGGUGACGGUUAGAUAUGAACAUGAUGGAAGUACUUGAAGUAGGUAUUGGAGUAGUGAUUUGUGAGAGGCAUACUCCGAAAAACCGGGAGAUGUGGAUGAUCUGGAGUGUGAAUUGCAAGUGAUCGAGGUAGAAGGAAGUUGUUGGUCAUGUGUGUGUCCUUUGUUACUAACAGCAGAGCUUUCGGAAAGAGCACAACCAGCCAGAGUCAGUGGGCAGGGAAGCUGUGGAAUGUGCGUUGUAGGUGACAGUGUGAUGGAGGGGCGUGUAGGCGGCUAGUGUCUGGACUGUGAGAUGCAGCUUGUUGUGAAGUAGUUUAGGUAUCCUGGCAAGUAGCCAGGACGCUGGAAUGAAGUUUUUGAGUUGAAAUGAAACGCCUCCAAACUAAUACUCGAUUUGUAUUCAUAUACUAACCGAAACCUUACAACAAGCUUAUGCGUGUUAUUAGAUUA